CCAGACUCCUACGGGAGGCAGCAGUGGGGGAUAUUGCACAAUGGGGGAAACCCUGAUGCAGCGACGCCGCGUGAGUGAAGAAGUAUUUCGGUAUGUAAAGCUCUAUCAGCAGGGAAGAAAAUGACAGUACCUGACCAAGAAGCCCCGGCUAACUACGUGCCAGCAGCCGCGGUAAUACGUAGGGGGCAAGCGUUAUCCGGAUUUACUGGGUGUAAAGGGAGCGUAGACGGUUAUGUAAGUCUGGAGUGAAAGCCCGGGGCCCAACCCCGGGACUGCUUUGGAAACUGUGUAACUGGAGUACAGGAGGGGCAGGCGGAAUUCCUGGUGUAGCGGUGAAAUGCGUAGAUAUCACGCAGAACUCCGAUUGCGAAGGCAGCAUACCGGCGCGCAACUGACGCUCAUGCACGAAAGCGUGGGUAUCGAACAGGAUUAGAUACCCCCGUAUC
rnacentral:rRNA from 1 species